rnacentral:rRNA from 1 species
UACGUAGGGUGCAAGCGUUGUCCGGAAUUAUUGGGCGUAAAGAGCUCGUAGGCGGUCUGUCGCGUCUGCUGUGAAAACCUGGGGCUUAACCCCGGGCCUGCAGUGGGUACGGGCAGACUAGAGUGCGGUAGGGGAGACUGGAAUUCCUGGUGUAGCGGUGAAAUGCGCAGAUAUCAGGAGGAACCCCAGAGGCGAAGGCGGCGCCCUGGCUCGCAACUGACGCUCAGACACGACAGCAUGGGGAGCGAACGGG